UACGGGGGGGGCUAGCGUUAUUCGGAAUCAUUGGGCGUAAAGGGCGCGUAGGCGGCGCGGUAAGUCAAAGGUGAAAUCCCUCGGCUCAACUGAGGAACUGCCUUUGAAACUGCCGUGCUUGAGUCCGGGAGGGGGUAGCGGAAUUCCCAGUGUAGCGGUGAAAUGCGUAGAUAUUGGGAGGAACACCAGUGGCGAAGGCGGAUCUCUGGGCCUGUUCUGACGCUGAGGCGCGAAAGCUAGGGGAGCGAACAGG
rnacentral:rRNA from 1 species